rnacentral:tmRNA from 1 species
GGGGCUGAUUAUGGAUUCGACAAAAUAACCAAAAAUAUAUGGUGCAUGUCGAGGGUUACGGUUGCCUCGUAAAAACCGUUAAAAUUUAAACGCAAAUAAAAAAACAGAAUACGCUUUAGCAGCUUAAAAAACUAUAUAAAGCCCUUUUACAAAAACGUUUCUUUUUCGUUUUUGUGUAUAAAAGGUUAUAAUUAAAAAGAUCGCAUAGUCAAUACUUUCUUAUAAGUAUUUUAUGUUAAAGUUUUUAUAAGAUUUUUUUCUGAUCUAUGUCUAUUUUAUAUCAGAAGAAUAAUAAAUUAAUAUAGACUAAACAUGUAGAACCAUAAUUGUAAGUGUUUUGGACGCGGGUUCAACUCCCGCCAGCUCCAUAA